rnacentral:rRNA from 1 species
CAGUCGCCACGGUAAUACGUAGGUGGCAAGCGUUGUCCGGAAUUAUUGGGCGUAAAGCGCGCGCAGGCGGAUCAGUCAGUCUGUCUUAAAAGUUCGGGGCUUAACCCCGUGAUGGGAUGGAAACUGCUGAUCUAGAGUAUCGGAGAGGAAAGUGGAAUUCCUAGUGUAGCGGUGAAAUGCGUAGAUAUUAGGAAGAACACCAGUGGCGAAGGCGACUUUCUGGACGAAAACUGACGCUGAGGCGCGAAAGCCAGGGGAGCGAACGGGAUUAGAUACCCCGGUAGUCCCUGUCUCUUAUACA